rnacentral:sRNA from 2 species
GCUAUGAUGCCAAAUACGCAAGGACGGAGGACGCCAGAGGAUGUGUCCUGUUUUCUUUCCUUCGUCGUUCCUUCAUUCUGUUGCUCAGUAACUACGAGUUCAUCCGUAUUGCUACUAAUUACAAAUUGUUAGUUACGAUCAUUUCAAGUUCUCACGAUAGCCCCCUUUGUCGCACCGGCCGGAAGGGGUCGGCACAGGCUAAAUGCUAUUGAUAUUACCCGAAUACCUCGGAAGACAGUACUACGCAGAACUGUACAGAUGUACAGGUGCAUGGGAUGGGACAGGACGACCACCGAUUCCAUUCGACCUGUGAAUUCCCGGAGACUUCAACCGCUUACAGGACUGUGGAACUGGGUAGGGGAUUUCUGUAAAUUCUGUAGGUGGCCCCUAACGGGUCAUGUAGGCUAGUAUUUAAGCAGCGAUCCGGGUUUGUCAGCAUCCGAUGGCAAAAAUAAUAAAUAAAGAAGGGGAUAUUGUAAAACAUGCAAUCUUGAUGGGAGGUUUUACCACUGCACCAAAAGGAUCAAUACUUUCAAGGUGGUGAACCUAUCUUAAGAUAUAGUUUGCAUGUUUCACAGAUAUCCGAUACAUCUGCCGUACGGGACGAGCAAGGAUGGAUAAGUGGCGGUCGGAUACACCGCGCUAAGGCCUGCCUGGCUGAGAGAUUGUAUAGAGAACAGUGUACAGGAGGAGUAUGCCGUAGAUAUAGUUACCACGCAGUGCCGGCGGGGAUAUCUUCAAAGAAAUAUACUGCAUACAGUGCAGUGCAUUCUUCAUUU